rnacentral:rRNA from 1 species
UACGUAGAGUGCGAGCGUUGUCCGGAAUUAUUGGGCGUAAAGAGCCCGUAGGCGGUCUGUCGCGUCGAAUGUGAAAACCCGGGGCUCAACUCCGGGCCUGCAUUCGAUACGGGCAGACUAGAGUUCGGUAGGGGAGACUGGAAUUCCUGGUGUAGCGGUGGAAAUGACGCAGAUAUCAGGAGGAACACCGGUGGCGAAGGCGGGUCUCUGGGCCGAUACUGACGCUGAGGAGCGAAAGCGUGGGGAGCAAACAGG